GAUGAACGCUGGCGGCGUGCCUAAUACAUGCAAGUCGAGCGAACAGAUGAGGAGCUUGCUCCUCUGACGUUAGCGGCGGACGGGUGAGUAACACGUGGAUAACCUACCUAUAAGACUGGGAUAACUUCGGGAAACCGGAGCUAAUACCGGAUAAUAUAUUGAACCGCAUGGUUCAAUAGUGAAAGACGGUUUUGCUGUCACUUAUAGAUGGAUCCGCGCCGCAUUAGCUAGUUGGUAAGGUAACGGCUUACCAAGGCAACGAUGCGUAGCCGACCUGAGAGGGUGAUCGGCCACACUGGAACUGAGACACGGUCCAGACUCCUACGGGAGGCAGCAGUAGGGAAUCUUCCGAAAGGGGCGAAAGCCUGACGGAGCAACGCCGCGUGAGUGAGGAAGGUCUUCGGAUCGUAAAACUCUGUUAUUAGGGAAGAACAAAUGUGUAAGUAACUAGGCACGUCUUGACGGUACUUAAUCAGAAAGCCACGGCUAACUACG
rnacentral:rRNA from 1 species